rnacentral:rRNA from 1 species
GGGGAAUUUUCCGCAAUGGGCGCAAGCCUGACGGAGCAAGACCGCGUGCGGGAGGACGGCCUAUUGGUUGUAAACCGCUUUUGAUAGGGAAGAAGUUCUGACGGUACCUAUCGAAUCAGCAUCGGCUAACUCCGUGCCAGCAGCCGCGGUAAUACGGAGGAUGCAAGCGUUAUCCGGAAUUAUUGGGCGUAAAGCGUCCGUAGGUGGUUGUUCAAGUCUGCUGUUAAAGCGUGCGGCUUAACCGCAUACCAGCAGUGGAAACUGGGCGACUAGAGUGCGGUAGGGGUCAGGGGAAUUCCCAGUGUAGCGGUGAAAUGCGUAGAUAUUGGGAAGAACACCGGUGGCGAAAGCGC